ACCAGCGCAGCUCAGAACGGUGCCUGCAAAUUCCAAAGCGAGCUCCACUGAUAAGAACCAAGAAACCACCAAUUUGCAGGCUGCGACGACGAGGAAACAAAAUAAGAAGAAAACGAGGAAACCCAUCGGCACAGAAAUUGGAAGUAUCGCUGCAGCAACUGGUAACACUAACGCAUAUCGCCGCAACAAAAUGCAGGAUCCGAGUUUAGGAACCGCGCUCGAUGGCUUCCACUGGUCGAAAUGCAGACAUAGGAAUAAGAAAAAAAAUAUGCGUGCGCGUAUGAGAACCAGAACCACUCAGGAUCCAGGCCAGCACAAACGGCACACAAGCGCAGAGGGAGAAAAGCGAGGAGAGCCGGCGACCAGCCGA
rnacentral:misc_RNA from 1 species